AUUCCAGCUCCAAUAGCGUAUAUUAAAGUUGUUGCAGUUAAAAAGCUCGUAGUUGGAUUUCGGAAUGGGUCAAUUGGUCCGCCGCAAGGUGAGUUACUGGUUGGUCUGUUCUUCUUCGCAAAGACUGCGUAUGCACUUUAUUGGGUGUGCGUAGGAUUUACGACGUUUACUUUGAAAAAAUUAGAGUGUUCAAAGCAGGCUAUCGCUUGAAUACAUGAGCAUGGAAUAAUGGAAUAGGACUUUGGUCUUAUUUUGUUGGUUUCCGAGACCGAAGUAAUGAUUAAUAGGGACAGUUGGGGGCAUUCGUAUUUCAUUGUCAGAGGUGAAAUUCUUGGAUUUAUGAAAGACGAACUUCUGCGAAAGCAUUUGCCAAGGAUGUUUUCAUUG
rnacentral:rRNA from 1 species